rnacentral:tRNA from 1 species
GGUCCGGUAGUUCAGUUGGUUAGAACGCCAGCCUGUCACGCUGGAGGUCAUGGGUUCGAGCCCCAUUCGGAUCGCCA